UGGUUUCACGCUUCAUUGUGUCCUCUAGAUCUUGAAGCUCUAGAACGUCUUCAAUUACGAUCUCCAGCAAAGGUAGUUGCUUUGGUCCAUAGGUGUGUUUAUCAUGUGAAAGAUGUUGAAAGAAGUGGGGAUUGAGAAAAGUGUAUUUAUCAUGGUGGUGUCAGAAUUUUUUGAAGAAACUAGAGAGUCUGCAGAGGAAGAGAUUGGGGAGGACUCGGUAGGAGCCAUAGGACUGGGAUCGAGUUUUUUAUUAUUUUUUUUAGCGAUAGCCCCUGUGGGCUUUGAUACGUGUAAGAAAAGAGGUGUGAAGAGGAAUUUGGAAUAAAUGAG
rnacentral:lncRNA from 1 species